rnacentral:rRNA from 1 species
GACGUAGGGCGCGAGCGUUGUCCGGAUUUAUUGGGCGUAAAGAGCUCGUAGGCGGUCUGUCGCGUCGGAUGUGAAAGCCUGGGGCUUAACCCCGGGUCUGCAUUCGAUACGGGCAGACUAGAGUGUGGUAGGGGAGAUCGGAAUUCCUGGUGUAGCGGUGAAAUGCGUAGAUAUCUGGAGGAACACCGGUGGCGAAGGCGGCAUCCUGGACCAAUACUGACGCUGAGGAGCGAAAGCCAGGGGAGCAAACGGG